CCACAUAGGCGGGCCUCUCCGGCGGCGGCGGCAACCUGCAAGGAGAGGGCGACGACAUGGAUCGGUCCCUGUAGGAGAGAGAAGAUGGGAGAGAGGCAGAGAAGAAAGGAUAGGUGGGAGAAUGAGAGAGGAAAGAAGAGAGGGAGUCCCAGUGGUGGAUAGGAGAGGGUCACUGGCCGGCGCCGGCCUACGGCGGCGAGGUCAGAUGCGAUCUGGAGGGAGCAUGGGAUCGACGACAGCGGCUGGAAGCCAGGAGGGCUGGCCGAGGACGAGGGUGAGGACGCGAGGAUUGAAGAGGGUCUUCCUGUGUUCAUCGUGUGGCCAAGGAAGAGGACAACGCCGCGGGGUUGAAUAGGUCAUCCCUUUGGUCACCGCCUUCCUUGUCCAUGCUCUACUGCUGGGUGAAGAUGAGGGUUUUCUCCAAUGAUUAUGGUGGCAUGAGGAGGAGAUCGACGGCCAGAUGCUUGUGGCUGCCGCACAAAACAUGAUCGCUUGCUGACCUCGAUGUCCAGCCGCAAUGGAUUGUCCCCAUGAGUGGUGAUGCAGUCCCUCGAAUUUAUCCCUUGUCGCGUGUAUCCUGUAGUAAGCAUAACCCGAUGCACCUCCAUGUCGGCUUAGAUCUGGUAUGACUGCUUAUUUGCUCUAAUGCUGGCUUGCUAUAUGGUUUUAUUCUCAUUUUUCAUGCCAGACUUGUAAUUUUGGUUGUCACAUUUUCAUAUCGUAUGAGGAAGAAGUCUCUUGGGUUGCUCACACAGAAUUUUGCCAAGCUGUUCCUCACCAUGGAGCAGGUUAGCCUGAGCUCACUUGAUGAAGCUACAAGGUUCCUCCUUGGAGAAGGCCAUGAGGAGUACAAUACGAGAAGUUAGUAAUUCUUUGGUUGCAUGACUAUAAAUACUAAUCCAAGGCGUUGUUGCUCUUUGUCCCCAUCGCUAGCCAGGUUUUCACAUUAGGGGUGGAGGAAUAGGGGGCAAGAGGCCAGCGGUGUGGGUGGAGUAGAGAGGCUAGAGACCCAGGCGGUGGAUGCCUUAUGGGUGGAGGAGAGGCUGACGAUGGGGACAAGGAGCAACAGCAUCAUGGAUUUGCAGGGAAGGGGAGGUCCCGGCGGUUAAAGAUGGUGUGCACGGGAGGAGCUCAGAGCGGCACUCCCAUGGAGGGAUGAUGAUGUCAAGGUGGAAGGAUUUUAUGAUAUAAAAGAGAACAACAAGAGGGUUUUCAUCUUUUUUAGCUGCAGGUAAAACAGUUUAUGUUCAAUAAAAAUCAUUGUUCAGUUUAGAUAAUCCAAUUUACAGAUGUUCAGUUAUAUAACUACUAAUUAUGAGUUUAUGGACUCUGUUCAAAUGUUGCAAAUGCAUGCUCAUUUGAAUUUCUGAGUAUAAAUUUUCUUCCAUUGGUGAUUCUGCUAUAUGCAUCUGAAAAAGGUUAUGUGAGGAGGUGAGGAUAAUUGGAUAAACAUUAUUUCAGAUCCACCCGACUCAUCCCAAGUUUUUGCAAGGCUCGUCUGCACACAUCAGUAGCUAUGGAAAGAAAGCUUGUACUGGAGUGGGUUCCUUUGUAUGGUCUUGGAAGAUUUUGCGGUCAAAGAGACGACCUCUGAAGCCCAUCAGAAAGCAUGGCAACGACUGAAGGUUAGCGCAUUUCAAGAAGCGCCUACUUCCAUAGGGUGACAAUCACGUGUAGGAUAAAGUGCGAUGUCUUGCCCGAGGGGUUGGAGCAGGACUGCAGGAGGAGGGACAAGAUCUUGCUAUUAAUGAACUGUCUAGAAUAAAUUGUGGAAAAAUCACUGUGAUGGGAAUUUCCUGCAAUAUAUUUGUUUGUUACACAAAAAGUUGCAUAUAUGUGUUGCUGAGACUCUCGAGCAGCGAGAAGCUGGAUCAACCAUGGAAGUUGUCGCUGUACAGACAAAAGCAAUUGCUGACAAGAUCGAGGACCAGGCCAAUGUGGUCGUCGCGCACAAACCAGUGUGGGCCAUUGGCACCGGUAAAGUUGCACCAUCGGCGCAGGCACACGAAGAGGCUGAAGGUGGUAGCUUACUGAACACUCAUUUUGGAAAAAAUCUGGACAUGUGUAGUGCUGAUAAAGAAAUGCAGCUGCUACCUGGAUUUGCCGCUGCCACUGCCUCGAGUCGCUUUUGCUUGGAAAUCCAGUUGCCAGCAUGGUAAUUUCUUUCGGGUCUCAACUCUCCUCAUGUCUCCCGCACUUGCUUGCUACAGGUUCUUGUUGUAUGUGUGCUUGUUGCCUUAGUGACGUGUGUCCAGGCACGCAUCGUCUUUGUCUGCCAGGGUUGGCGCUGCUACUUAGUCGGUUACAGCGAGUAGGAAGCUGAUAGGGUGGUAUUUCUCCCUGGUCAGCCAAGGAGGUCGCAUGUCUCUCGGUUCUCUGGGCAUGUCAUCGUGAACCAGCAGAAUGGAAGGAUGCUCUUCUCCUAGUUCUUGGAGGCUCAGGCACAGCCCUGACGCAAGCCUCUCCUUCUCUGUCUCAAUUGGGAUUUCUUACUUCCCUCAUUCACUUCUUUUUUGUUUUUUCACUUAGUCACUUAUUUCUGGAAUGGUUUUGUAGAUAUCAUCUUGUGCUCCUUGCAGUUCAAUAAUGUUUUUGUUGCUACUUGGGGUGCAUACCUGAAGUAAAAUAAGUAAUAUUUUUGUUCCAUGUA